CCCAUUCCCACAACAGACUACUCCACAGCACUGACCAUAUCACGUGUGAGACUCCUUUGUCUCAGUGGUGAGAUCCUCAAGGGCAAGGUCAUGUCUCUGACCCCAGAGUUCAGCUCACCUAUGCUAAAGGAGUGAACAGAACCUAACACUGCCUGCGGCGGCAGGGACAACUGGAAGCUCAUCGGGGACAAAAUUCUCUCCAACUACGACCCUGUGAAAACUUCCUCCCCUGGGACCAAAUAAGUAUCUGAUUGGUGACAAUGAGAGAAACAACGAAGCAUGUGCAACUCAGCCCCAUCCUUCCUUCUCUCCCUAAGCCUCCUCAGUAAGGGAGAUGGCCUGCCCCAGGAGGAGACUUGCAUUCACCUAGGUCCCUACUACAGGUUGGGCCCUCAUCAUUAAAAAAAAGCUGCUUCCUCUGACUCUUCCUCAAUCCAUCCUUCCCAGUGUGGUAGGACAUAUUCCAUAGCUCAUGACAUCACUCUGCUGCUCCCAAACCUUCCACGCCUGACAUAUUUUGAAGUUUGGCUCAAGUCUUCUAAUACCACCCACCUUCUUACCAAGUUGAGUCCCAGCUACACCAGACUACCUCCCACCCCCAAUAUAGAAAGGUUUUCUGUUUUCUUUGUUUUUUGUUUUUGUUUUUUGUUUUUUGUUUUUCGUUUUCUUUACUUGGGAUGCUUUUUUCCAUCUAUACUUCAAAUCCCACCCAUUCUGAGGCCUUGUCCAAAUGUUCCAUAUCUAGGAGGACUUUCCUGACUGCUACCUCAAAUUCCCAAAGAUGCUAGA